ensembl:lncRNA
GCCAUUUGUAAUUUACGCACCUGUGAUCUAUAAACCUCAAAUUGACUUAGAAUUGAUGGCACCUGAACGUGCCUUACAAUCAGCGAUUCCCCCUUAUAGAAUGCUCGCACAAAUGAGGGUUUAGUCAGGAAUAGUCAUGGACCAAAAGAGAAAAGCUAACCUUUUGGUCUUCGCGAUCACGGCUGUGGUAGGAGAUUGAAGACGGGCAACACGUAUUAUUCGGUGAACUUAAUAGUGGGUUGACGAAGCCAAACGGGUAUCUUGGGAGUGUGUCGCCGCUGCAGUGAACGAGGUGGGGCAGCAAGACAGAACUGUGGCUGAUGUGAAAGAGAAAUGGUCUGACCUUAAACUGCAAGGGGGGAAAUAUAAUAGCCAUAACCGCAGCAUUAAGGCAACGGGAGGGGGGGCCUGGCACCCCGGAGCUCUCCCAAAUGGACCAGUGCAUCGGGGCACUCAUUGGUUAAAGCGCAUACACUCGCACAUACCCCGAUGGCGACAGUAAAUGUGUUUUUUUUUAAAGACCCAGCUACCUGCCUCCUCCUGUGGUCCUUUACAAAAACACCUGCUGCGCCCUGCGCUUGAAACCAGCUGUCUCCCAUCGUGUUCAUUACAGCAUCACUGGAUAACGAAAUGGAGGAAGCUGUGUUGCAGCCCGUGUCUCGUUUGAGGGUGGCCCCUCCACCAAGGGAGAAAGUGCGUGAGGCUCCCAAAUCAGCAGGUGCUAAAUGUUUGGCCACACGUGUGCCGGUUCCCAAUCCGUGAGGCCCCGGUUCCCAAGCAUCGCAGACUCGCAGAUGCCAUGAGUGAGGGAAUGUUUUGCCACAGGGGUUGAGGGUCUGUCCACGUCUACAGUUUGUGUUGACCACCUCAGUCCUGCAAACCCAGAAAGUGUUGAAUGCAUUGGUUGGGCAGAUUGUGACUGAAGUUGGAAGAAUAUACAGGGUUUUACUUCAUUUACAUAAUGCAAUUGAUGAAUGUUUUCCACUAUGUUAAUAAAAAAACCUAUGCUUUGUA